rnacentral:rRNA from 1 species
GGCGAACCGGGGGAACUGAAACAUCUAAGUACCCCGAGGAAAAGAAAUCAACCGAGAUUCCGAAAGUAGCGGCGAGCGAAAUUGGACUAGCCCUUAAGCUUUACACGCGUUAGACGAACAGCCUGGAAAGGCCGACGAUACAGGGUGAUAGUCCCGUAGUUGACGACGUGUGUUCAGUGAAAUCGAGUAGGGCGGGACACGUGAUAUCCUGUCUGAAUAUGGGGGGACCAUCCUCCAAGGCUAAAUACUACUGACUGACCGAUAGUGAACCAGUACCGUGAGGGAAAGGCGAAAAGAACCCCUGUGAGGGGAGUGAAAUAGAACCUGAAACCGUGUACGUACAAGCAGUAGGAGCAGGCUUUGUCCUGUGACUGCGUACCUUUUGUAUAAUGGGUCAGCGACUUAUAUUCAGUGGCAAGGUUAACCAUCUAGGGGAGCCGUAGGGAAACCGAGUCUUAACUGGGCGUUCAGUCUCUGGAUAUAGACCCGAAACCAGGUGAUCUAGCCAUGGGCAGGUUGAAGGUUGAGUAACAUCAACUGGAGGACCGAACCGACUAAUGUUGAAAAAUUAGCGGAUGACUUGUGGCUAGGGGUGAAAGGCCAAUCAAACCUGGAGAUAGCUGGUUCUCCCCGAAAGCUAUUUAGGUAGCGCCUCGGACGAAUACUACUGGGGGUAGAGCACUGUUAAGGCUAGGGGGUCAUCCCGACUUACCAACCCUUUGCAAACUCCGAAUACCAGUAAGUACUAUCCGGGAGACACACGGCGGGUGCUAACGUCCGUCGUGGAGAGGGAAACAACCCAGACCGCCAGCUAAGGUCCCAAAUUACUACUAAGUGGGAAACGAUGUGGGAAGGCUCAGACAGCCAGGAUGUUGGCUUAGAAGCAGCCAUCAUUUAAAGAAAGCGUAAUAGCUCACUGGUCGAGUCGGCCUGCGCGGAAGAUGUAACGGGGCUAAGUAGUAAACCGAAGCUGCGGCAAURYACUUUUGUAUAUUGGGUAGGGGAGCGUUCUGUAAGCGGUUGAAGGUGUGUGGUAACGCAUGCUGGACGUAUCAGAAGUGCGAAUGCUGACAUGAGUAACGAUAAAGGGGGUGAAAAACCUCCUCGCCGGAAGACCAAGGGUUCCUGUCCAACGUUAAUCGGGGCAGGGUAAGUCGACCCCUAAGGCRAGGCCGAAAGGCGUAGUCGAUGGGAAACGGGUUAAUAUUCCCGUACUUCUUACAAUUGCGAUGGGGGGACGGAGAAGGCUAGGUGGGCCUGGCGAYGGUUGUCCAGGUUCAAGUGCGUAGGCUGAGAAAUUAGGUAAAUCCGGUUUCUCUUAAGGCUGAGACACGACGUCGAGCWWCUACGGWWGUGAAGUCAUUGAUGCCAUGCUUCCAGGAAAAGCCUCUAAGCUUCAGAUUGUAAGGAAUCGUACCCCAAACCGACACAGGUGGUCGGGUAGAGAAUACCAAGGCGCUUGAGAGAACUCGGGUGAAGGAACUAGGCAAAAUGGUACCGUAACUUCGGGAGAAGGUACGCUCUCGACGGUGAAGUCCCUCGCGGAUGGAGCUAUUGAGAGUCGCAGAUACCAGGUGGCUGCAACUGUUUAUUAAAAACACAGCACUGUGCAAAAUCGYAAGAUGACGUAUACGGUGUGACGCCUGCCCGGUGCCGGAAGGUUAAUUGAUGGGGUUAGACUUCGGUCGAAGCUCUUGAUCGAAGCCCCGGUAAACGGCGGCCGUAACUAUAACGGUCCUAAGGUAGCGAAAUUCCUUGUCGGGUAAGUUCCGACCUGCACGAAUGGCGUAAUGAUGGCCACGCUGUCUCCACCCGAGACUCAGUGAAAUUGAAAUCGCUGUGAAGAUGCAGUGUACCCGCGGCUAGA